UACGUAGGGUGCAGGCGUUAAUCGGAAUUACUGGGCGUAAAGCGUGCGCAGGCGGUUUUGUAAGCCAGAUGUGAAAUCCCCGGGCUUAACCUGGGAAUGGCAUUUGGGACUGCAAGGCUCGAGUGCGGCAGAGGAGACUGGAAUUCCUGGUGUAGCAGUGAAAUGCGUGGAUAUCAGGAGGAACACCGAUGGCGAAGGCAGGUCUCUGGGCUGACACUGACGCUCAUGCACGAAAGCGUGGGGAGCAAACAGG
rnacentral:rRNA from 1 species